GGGGCUGUAGCUCAUCUGGGAGAGCGCCUGCUUUGCAAGCAGGAGGUAAGGGGUUCGAGUCCCCUCAGCUCCACCA
rnacentral:tRNA from 1 species